rnacentral:rRNA from 1 species
UACGUAGGGUGCGAGCGUUAAUCGGAAUUACUGGGCGUAAAGCGUGCGCAGGCGGUUUUGUAAGCCAGAUGUGAAAUCCCCGGGCUCAACCUGGGAACUGCAUUUGUGACUGCACAGCUUGAGUGCGGCAGAGGGGGAUGGAAUUCCGCGUGUAGCAGUGAAAUGCGUAGAUAUGCGGAGGAACACCGAUGGCGAAGGCAAUCCCCUGGGCCUGCACUGACGCUCAUGCACGAAAGCGUGGGGAGCAAACAGG